ensembl:lncRNA
AUUUGCAACACAUAACAUGGACUUAAAAAGAAAGGUAGGAUAGGCUUACUCUGAGUAAACUACUGGAGAAAGGAGAAUGGAAAGAGGCCACUAAAAAGGUCCAAAGUGAAAGUGAAAGAAAGUGAAGUCUCUCAGUCGUGUCUGACUCUUUGCGACCCCAUGGAUGGUAGCCUACCAGGCUCUUCUGUCCAUGGGAUUCUCCAGGCAAGAUUACUGGAGUGGGUUGCCAUUUCCUUCUCCAGGGGAUCUGCCCGACCCAGGGAUCGAACCCAGGUCUCCCACAUUGCAGGCAGAUGCUUUAACCUCUGAGCCACCAGGGAAGCCCGAAAAGGUUCAAAGAGGCUCUUCUGUCCAUGGAAUUCUCAAGGCAAGAAUACUGCAGCGGGUUGUCAUGAUCUCCUCCAGGGGAUCUUCUUGACCCAGGGAUUGAACCCACGUCUCUUACAUCUCCUCUAUUGGCAGGAGGAUUCUUUACCAACUGAGCCAUGAGGGAAGCCCUAAUAUAAAAGGUCAGUUUUCAUUCCAGUGCCAAAAAAUGUUCAAACUACUGCAUAAUUGAACUCAUCUCACAUGUUAGCAAAGUAAUGCUCAAAAUUCUCCAUGCUAGGCUGCAAUAGUACAUGAAUGGAG